rnacentral:rRNA from 1 species
GACGAACGCUGGCGGCGUGCCUAACACAUGCAAGUCGAGCGAGUUGAUUCUCUUCGGAGAUGAAGCUAGCGGCGGACGGGUGAGUAACACGUGGGCAACCUGCCUCAUAGAGGGGAAUAGCCUCCCGAAAGGGAGAUUAAUACCGCAUAAGAUUGUAGCUUCGCAUGAGGUAGCAAUUAAAGGAGUAAUCCGCUAUGAGAUGGGCCCGCGGCGCAUUAGCUAGUUGGUGAGGUAACGGCUCACCAAGGCGACGAUGCGUAGCCGACCCGAGAGGGUGAUCGGCCACAUUGGGACUGAGACACGGCCCAGACUCCUACGGGAGGCAGCAGUGGGGAAUAUUGCACAAUGGGGGAAACCCUGAUGCAGCAACGCCGCGUGAGUGAUGACGGCCUUCGGGUUGUAAAGCUCUGUCUUCAGGGACGAUAAUGACGGUACCUGAGGAGGAAGCCACGGCUAACUACGUGCCAGCAGCCGCCGUAAUAC